rnacentral:rRNA from 1 species
AGUGAACGCUGGCGGCGUGCCUAAUACAUGCAAGUCGGACGGAGUGGCGCACGGGUGAGUAAUGUAUAGCUAAUCUCCCCUACACUAGAGGACAACAGUUGGAAACGGCUGCUAAUACUCUAUAGUGUAGGAUGAGGCUAUCUGUUAUCAGCUAGUUGUGGAUGUAAUGGCUCACCAAGGCUAUGCCGCAUAAAUGGUCUGAGAGGAUGAUCAGUCACACUGGAACUGAGACACGGGCCAGACUCCUACGGGAGGCAGCAGUAGGGAAUAUUGCUCAAUGGGGGAAACCCUGAAGCAGCAACGCCGCGUGGAGGAUGACACUUUUCGGAGCGUAAACUCCUUUUGUUAGGGAAGCGGUACCUAACGAAUAAGCACAGGCUAACUCCGUGCCAGCAGCCGCGGUAAUUC